AAGUCGUAACAAGGUUUCCGUAGGUGAACCUGCGGAAGGAUCAUCAAUGAAUUUUUGACUGAUUCAAAAAAAAACCCUGGCGAAAAGGUGUCAAACUUUUAAGUCACGUCGUUCAGGUCGUUCACAGUGUUUGCCGGAAAUUUGGCCUAAAAUGAUUUCCGGCCGCGUGAGAUCGUAAGCGCUGUAAUGGGCCAAAACAUAUUUUCAGCCGAGCUUUUUACGAGCUCUGGUCAAAAACCCAAAAAUUUCAGCCAAAAGUGGGCGGCACUUUUGGACCGAAAAAAACAACUACACACAACACACACUCGUGUGUGUUGUGUUGUAAAAACAAACAACCGACCACCAAAAAACAACUUUCGGCAACGGAUCUCUCGGCUCACC
rnacentral:misc_RNA from 1 species